AUACGUAGGUGGCAAGCGUUAUCCGGAAUUAUUGGGCGUAAAGAGUGAGCAGGCGGUUAAUUAAGUCUGAGGUUAAAGCGUGGGGCUCAACCCCAUUCUGCCGUUGAUACUGGGUGGCUUGAUUGCGGUCGAGGUUGGCGGAAUUCGUUGUGUAGCGGUGAAAUGCAUAGAUAUGACGAAGAACACCGAUUGCGUAGGCAGCUGACCAGACCGCAAAUGACGCUCAUGCACGAAAGUGCGGGGAUCGAACAGGAUUAGAUACCCUGGUAGUCCGCACAGUAAACGAUGAAUACUUGUUUUCGGCGAUAUAAUGUCGGAGGCAAAGCGAAAGCGAUAAGUAUUCCACCUGGGGAGUACGCCGGCAACGGUGAAACUCAAAGGAAUUGACGGGG
rnacentral:rRNA from 1 species